AGCGAACGCUGGCGGCAGGCCUAACACAUGCAAGUCGAACGGACCCUUCGGGGUUAGUGGCGGACGGGUGAGUAACACGUGGGAACGUGCCUUUAGGUUCGGAAUAGCUCCUGGAAACGGGUGGUAAUGCCGAAUGUGCCCUUCGGGGGAAAGAUUUAUCGCCUUUAGAGCGGCCCGCGUCUGAUUAGCUAGUUGGUGAGGUAAUGGCUCACCAAGGCGACGAUCAGUAGCUGGUCUGAGAGGAUGACCAGCCACAUUGGGACUGAGACACGGCCCAAACUCCUACGGGAGGCAGCAGUGGGGAAUCUUGCGCAGUGGGCGAAAGCCUGACGCAGCCAUGCCGCGUGAAUGAUGAAGGUCUUAGGAUUGUAAAAUUCUUUCACCGGGGACGAUAAUGACGGUACCCGGAGAAGAAGCCCCGGCUAACUUCGUGCCAGCCGCCGCGGUAA
rnacentral:rRNA from 1 species